GUUAUAAGCACCCAUUAGGCUAUAAGCACCCAUUAGGCUAUAAGCAAAUAUAACCACCCUGUUCUUAUUCUCCCAUGCUUGUUAACACUGAUGAUUAUUGGAAAAAAAAAAAAAAACCCAACCAAUUAUUAUUAGUCAAUCAUUGUUAGCCAAUUAUUACUAGCCAAUUAUUACUAGCCAAUUAUUACUAGCCAAUUAUUACUAACCAGUUAUUACUAGCCAGUUAUUACUAACCAGUUAUUAUUAACCAGUUAUUACUAGCCAGUUAUUACUAGCCAGUUAUUAUUUUUUCUUAAAAUGAAUACUUAUAAAGAACAUUUAAAAACAAAAUUUGAAUAUAAAUACUUACUUUACUCCGUAUCAUUUGUGUUGGUAAAUUUGGGGAUUUGUAAUGAGUACAUAAAAAGAAAACAUUCAAUACAUAGUAAUGAAAAACCUAAAAUUUAUUUUAAUUUAAGUGACAAGAAUUUUGAAUAUGUGAAUAAAACAAGUUACUUUAAGAGGCUUAAUAAAAUAUGCAAUAGUUUGAAUGUACCUCUAGAAGAAAUAUCCAAAGCUGCUAAAAAUUAUUAUCCUAUAGAAUAUCACUUACAAUAUUUAAAUAACAUUUUUGAAAAUACAAAAAAAAAAUUAGAAAAUAUUAUAAAAAAUGAAAAGAAUAAAACAAAGGAUAUGAAUGAAAUAUUAGAAAAGUUGAUUGAUGAAAUUAUAAAUGACUUCGAGUCACAUUGGUACAAUGGUCACGAAAGUAAAAACGAGAAAUAUCCUUUUUUUUUAGAACAACUAGAUUGGAAACAUUUAAAAGAAUUUAUAUUAGAAAGAAAAAAAAUAAGUUUGUAUAAUUCGGUUAAUUUAAUAACUACAUUGAUUGAUGAACUAUAUGCAUAUAUUUAUAUAUACUUAAUAAUAAAUUACAAAAGAAAUAAUAUGUUUAAUUUUUUUAAAAUAAAACGAAUGUAUAGGCAUUGUAGUGAGAAUGUAGGAAAGGAUAUAGGUUUAGAAGUAAACAAUUAUUUAUGGUUAAAUUCUGAUGAUAUAAAUUAUACUAAUAAUUUUGCUUGUAUUAAUAAUAAAAAUAAUGGAAGUAUGAUAAAUACAAAUGAUGAAGGAUUAGUGAACAACACAAAAUAUAUACUUAAUAUAGAUACAUUAAACGAAAUAAAAGAAAGUCUUUCAAAGUAUGGAGUAGUAGUUUUACAAAAUUUAAUACCUAUAGAAGACAUAGAAAAAAUAAAAAAACAUUUAUAUAUUGAUAAAACUGAUAUUAAUAUAGCACAGUAUUUAAUGGCUGAAGAUCAAAAUAUUUUUUGUAUUAGACCUACAAGAGGAAGGCAAUAUUGUAUAUUAAGAAAUAGUAGAAAAAGUGACUCUUUUGUUAACAUACAACAAAAAUGGUUAAAUAUUAUUUACAAUUAUUUACCAAUAGGAAAAAUACAUAUAAAUAUGUUUGAUUUUUUUUUCCUCAAAAAAUAUUGACAAAAAUAAUAUGUUUAAUUUUAAUUGGGAAAAUAUAAAUAACUUAAAUGUAAAAGUAGAAGAAAAUGAUAAAAUAUAUAUAUCUGAUUUACAAUUAAUAAAUAAUGAACCGUUAAGUGAAAUUCA
rnacentral:lncRNA from 1 species